rnacentral:rRNA from 1 species
GACGAACGCUGGCGGCAUGCCUAACACAUGCAAGUCGAACGGAGAUUAUUUCGGUAAUCUUAGUGGCGAACGGGUGAGUAACGCGUGGGCAACCUGCCCUCUAGAUGGGGACAACAUCCCGAAAGGGGUGCUAAUACCGAAUGUGACAGCAAUCUCGCAUGAGGAUGCUGUGAAAGAUGGCCUCUAUUUAUAAGCUAUCGCUAGAGGAUGGGCCUGCGUCUGAUUAGCUAGUUGGUGGGGUAACGGCCUACCAAGGCGAUGAUCAGUAGCCGGUCUGAGAGGAAGGACGGGCACAAGGGGACAGGGAAACGGACCAGACGCAUGCGGGAAGGAGCAAGGGGGGAUGUUACGAAAAGGGUGAAAGCCUGACGGAGCAAUGGCGCAUGAGGGAUGAAAGAAUUCGUGCCGAAAAGCUCUUUUGUGUAGGACGAAUGGGCAGAAUGUGAACAAAGAUCUGUAAUGACGGUAGUAAAAGAAUAAGCAACGGCUAAAUAUGUG